rnacentral:rRNA from 1 species
GUGGGGAAUAUUGGACAAUGGGGGGAACCCUGAUCCAGCCAUGCCGCGUGUGUGAAGAAGGCCUUUUGGUUGUAAAGCACUUUAAGCGAGGAGGAGGCUACCGAGAUUAAUACUCUUGGAUAGUGGACGUUACUCGCAGAAUAAGCACCGGCUAACUCUGUGCCAGCAGCCGCGGUAAUACAGAGGGUGCAAGCGUUAAUCGGAUUUACUGUGCGUAAAGCGCGCGUAGGGGGCCAAUUAAGUCAAAUGUGAAAUCCCCGAGCUUAACUUGGGAAUUGCAGUCGAUACUAGUGUGCUAGAGUAUGGGAGAAGAUGGUAGAAUUGCACGUGUAGCGGUGAAAUGCGUAGAGAUCUGGAGGAAUACCGAUGGCGAAGGCAGCCAUCUGGCCUAAUACUGACACAGAGGUGCGAAAGCAUAGGGAGCAAACAGGAUUAGAAACCCGGGUAGUCC